AAAGGUUUAAAAACGACUGAGGGAUGACGGAAAAAGAAAGGAGCCGGUGGUUACCGUGAUGGCCAUCUUCUGCCGCGCAGGCUCGGGAAUCCACUCGGCGGUUGCCAAAUGGAACCUGACUUCAGCCUUGGAAUUCACUGUAAAUAAAGGGACCAGAGCGCACGGGUCACAGAGACUCUCAAGUAGGCUCAGCGCCCAGUGGCUGGUGACAAUCCUGAAACGGGGAGGUGAGACACCCAGCCAGGUGUGACCCGUGACACAGGUCCUGUGUCAACUUGGGAAUACAAGACUCACGGUGUCUGAGGAAAGUAGGGAAGCGUGGUAGGGGGAAGAUUUCGGAAGGCUGGAUGGUGAGCCGUAAGAAGACCGGGUGGCAAAGACCUGGAACCGUGGUGGUGGACAGCGGGCCUUGGUGGGCAGCGGUGGCCCGUCUCGGGACUGCUUCCAAGAGAACUUCCUCCUUUUGAAAAGUCAAAUCAGUUCACUUUUCUGCAGAGCUUAACUUUUUCCGGAGAACCAUCAGCUCAUCUACUGGAAAGACUGUUCCUUGUCACGAGGACAUCAAGAGCUCUGAUUCGUCUCGCACACUGCCCAGCACUCCACAGUGGCUGUGCCAUCAUUUCUGUGGUAUUCUCAAGUGCUUAAAGGGCUCUGCUUUUGCACACCCAGAGACAGUUUCUUUACUUUUGUUAGGCUGGAGAGAUCUGGAAGGAUUGUGUGAGGGUGGGAGGAAAUGACUGAUUUUUUUUUUUAAUGUUUAUUUAUUCUUGAGAGAGAGAGAGAGAGAGAGAGAGAGAGUGAGCGAGCAUGA